rnacentral:rRNA from 1 species
UACGUAGGGUGCAAGCGUUAAUCGGAAUUACUGGGCGUAAAGCGUGCGCAGGCGGUUUUGUAAGUUUGUCGUGAAAGCCCCGGGCUCAACCUGGGAAUUGCGAUGAAGACUGCAAGGCUUGAAUCUGGCAGAGGGGGGUAGAAUUCCACGUGUAGCAGUGAAAUGCGUAGAGAUGUGGAGGAACACCGAUGGCGAAGGCAGCCCCCUGGGUCAAAACUGACGCUCAUGCACGAAAGCGUGGGGAGCAAACAGG